rnacentral:tRNA from 2 species
UUCUGGUUAGCUCCGUUGGUAGAGCACUCCAUUGGAAAUGAAGAGGUCCCUAGUUCGAUACCAAGACCAGGUG